rnacentral:rRNA from 1 species
CUGCCAGUAGUCAUAUGCUUGUCUCAAAGAUUAAGCCAUGCAUGUCUAAGUAUAAGCUUGUUUAUACGGCGAGACUGCGGAUGGCUCAUUAAAUCAGUUAUAGUUUAUUUGAUGGUCUCUUAUAUAUAUUUUUUUACCUACUUGGAUAACCGUGGUAAUUCUAGAGCUAAUACAUGCGCAAGGUCCCGAGCGCGGGGGAUGGGUGGCUUCGCGGUUGCCCAUUCUCGCAUGCGCAGAGGGAUGUAUUUAUUAGGUUAAAAACCAGCACACAAUCAAACAAAAAAACUGGUGAUUCAUAGUAACUCUUUCGGAUCGCAUUCAUGUCCUCCUUGUGGGGACGGCGACGAUUCAUUCAAAUUUCUGCCCUAUCAACUUUCGAUGGUAGGAUAGAGGCCUACCAUGGUCGUAACGGGUAACGGAGAAUUAGGGUUCGAUUCCGGAGAGGGAGCCUGAGAAAUGGUACCACUUCUAAGGAAGGCAGCAGGCGCGCAAAUUACCCAAUCCCGACACGGGGAGGUAGUGACAAUAAAUAACAAUACAGGCGCUCGAUAAGAGUCUUGUAAUUGGAAUGAGUACAAUUUAAACCCCUUAACGAGUAACAAUUGGAGGGCAAGUCUGGUGCCAGCAGCCGCGGUAAUUCCAGCUCCAAUAGCGUAUAUUAAAGUUGUUGCAGUUAAAAAGCUCGUAGUUGGAUCUAGGGACGUGCAUAUUCUCUCUCUUUCAUAUAGAGAGAAUCCAAGCGCUCGAUCGUUUGUGUUGCGCGCGCGCGCGUGUGCGCAUGCGGGUCAAACCGUGUGCGCCGCGCGCGCGCGCGUGGCAUGAUCCCGAGCGUUGCGGGCUCGGUCCGUCGCACGGUCGCGAUCCCACAAGGAUCGAUCCGGCGUGGCGUGUCAACCGGCCCGCCCGUCCCCUCCUUCUGGAUUCCCGUUCCUGCUAUUGAGUUAGUGGGGACGUCACAGGGGGUCCGUCGUCGGCGCAUGCGAAUGCGACGGCGGCGGAUCCCUGGGGCCCAGAUCGUUUACCGUGAAAAAAUUAGAGUGUUCAAAGCAGGCAGAUUCAAUCCUCUGCCACCGAAUACAUUAGCAUGGGAUAAUGGAAUAGGACCCUGUCCUCCUAUUUUCAGUUGGUUUCCGAGGACCAGGGUAAUGAUUAAUAGGGAUAGUUGGGGGCAUUAAUAUUUAAUUGUCAGAGGUGAAAUUCUUGGAUUUAUGAAAGAUUAACUUCUGCGAAAGCAUCUGCCAAGGAUGUUUUCAUUAAUCAAGAACGAAAGUUAGGGGAUCGAAGACGAUCAGAUACCGUCGUAGUCUUAACCAUAAACGAUGCCGACCAGCGAUUAGGAGACGUUGAAUACAAAACACCAUCCAUGCCUCUCUCUCUCUCUCUGGUGUAUAUCAGAGGAAGGGGGGGGCAUGGUCACCGGUGAAUGACUCCCCUAGCAGCUUGUGAGAAAUCAUAAGUCUUUGGGUUCCGGGGGGAGUAUGGUCGCAAGGCUGAAACUUAAAGG